rnacentral:lncRNA from 1 species
CUUACCUAUAAUGAGACAGGACAGAAAAUUACGAUAAUCGUACUAGUACAGAAGCCACUCCCAAUAAAUAUGUGACAUUUUGACAGUUUUUUUUUAUUUAUGAAUAAAUCCGUAUUUGCAUAUUUGAUAUUCCUGAUUUGCGUGUGGAAAUUUGUGUUUAUCACCUAAAAAAGUGAUGUAAAUCCUUCUAAGUUGCAGAAUUUUGUUACUUAAGGCUUUAAAUUUAAAUUAAAAGCAUAUAUAAUGGUCAACGUGAUGCCUAGUCGCAAAUAGAGUGUAGUUAAGCCGGGUGUAAUUGUGAAUCAUACACGUCCCUUUAACUUUAACGGACCCCACAUAUGAAUUUACUUAAUGAACUACGCGUCACAGAACCAAUAGAUUUCAAGAAUUAUUUACGAAUGGACGACGAUUCAUUCAAUAUAUUAUUAGAGUUAGUACGGCCAGCAAUUACGAAACAAAAUACAGUCAUGAGAGAUGCAAUUAGUGCGGAAGAAAUUUUUAAGAAAUAUGAAGACCUUAAAUUCAGUACAGCUAUAUCACCUCAGUCCAUAGGUCAAAUCGUUCGUGAAACCUGCCGAGCUAUUUAUGAAUCACUAAAAAGAAAAUAUUUGAAGGUCCCAUCGCAUGAACAAGAGUGGCAACAAUUUGCAGAUGAUUUUAAACAGAUGUGGCAAUUCGACAACUGCUUGGGUGCGAUGGACGGAAAGCAUAUCACUAUUAAAAAACCACCCAAAAGUGGAUCAUUUUAUUACUUACUACUACAUUUAAGGUACUUUUAGCGUUGUGUUAUUUGCAAUUGUGAAUGCAAAUUACGAGUUUUUAUAUGUUCACACGGGUACCAAUGGACGGGUAUCUGAUGGAGGAAUAUGGAGUCAAACAGGAAUUUACAAACGUUUAAUGUCAAACAAGUCCAAAAUACCGAAAGAAACUAAACUUUCUGGCAGUAAUGACUUAGUGCCUUAUGUUUUUAUUGGAGAUGAGGCAUUUCGGCUAAUGAAGAAUUUAUUGAAGCCAUACCCGCAGAGAGGAAUAACUCAUGCUGAAAAAAAUUUCAACUAUCGCCUUUGCAGAGCCCGCCGAGUUGUCGAAAACGUGUUUGGCAUCCUAGCAUCACGUUUUAGAGUUUUUUUACAACCUAUUGCUACAAGUGUUGAAACAGUAGAUGAUAUCGUCCUUGCGUGCUGUGCACUUCACAACUUUUUGGGAAGGUUAUCGAAGAAAAGCUACAUAACAGAACCAACUGUAGAUUUUGAAGACACAAUCAGUGGCGCGGUUGUGCUGGUGGAAUGGAGACAAACUACUAAUUUACUAAAUCUGGAAAAAAUUGCAGAAAAAAUUCAAGUAAUGCCUCAAAAAAAGUAAGAGAUUCUUAUAAAAACUAUUUCAAUACUAAUGGAAAAACUACAUUCCAAGAAAAAAUGAUUUCAUAGGUAACAUCGUAAUAUGUAAUUUUUAUUAUUUAUGUGAAUAGUUGUUAUUCUUAUCCUAAAAUAAACUGAAGUUGGAAUCUACUUACUGUGUUAUUACUUUCCGAUACUUCAUCUUCGUCAAUCGCUCUUCCUUUUCUGCCGCUUUCUGAUUGUGAUGUAAACAGUAGCAAAUCAUAGUACCAAAGUGUCGGUUCAUAUAAAUCAUCUGUUCCUAUGCCUGUUCCUUUGGAAUCUUGUACCUUGAAUCAAUACCUCUUUUAUCUAGGAACAUUUAGAUAAGAGCCUAUUAUGAUACUCAUUUUGGUUUCUUUGAGUUAUGAACUGAGUCUUAUGCCGCACUAGUAUUGUAAUGGACUCAGUUUAUCGCAUCACUCAACGAUGCCAACAUGAGUAGAUAAUACCUAAUUAAAGUCAUUAAUAAAAUUUUCAUAUUACAUGUGUUAUUUGUGGUAAGCCUUCAUUACAGCACUCGUAUGAGUGGUAAGGUUACUAAAUAAUAAACUCUUACAGCGCUAGUAAUAUAAAUGACUAUUAUUGAAAGUUAUGCUACAUGACAUUGAAAAUAUUAUAUAUUAUUAAAAAUGGAAAAUAUCAAGGAAAGUUUAAGCUACAACUUCACUAUAAGAACGCGACUU